GAAGAUGCUAUUUGUAUGCCUGCUAAGCUUACAGACCAGCUAUAACCAGCUGGCAUCCUC
rnacentral:tRNA from 1 species